rfam:Schistosoma curassoni strain Dakar, Senegal genome assembly, scaffold: SCTD_scaffold0006655
AUCCAACUGAGGAGUCCCAAAUAGAACGAAACGCACGUCUUGGAU